rnacentral:rRNA from 1 species
GUGAGGAAUAUUGGUCAAUGGACGAGAGUCUGAACCAGCCAAGUAGCGUGCAGGAUGACGGCCCUAUGGGUUGUAAACUGCUUUUAUACGGGGAUAAAGUGAGGGACGUGUCCCUUUUUGUAGGUACCGUAUGAAUAAGGACCGGCUAAUUCCGUGCCAGCAGCCGCGGUAAUACGGAAGGUCCGGGCGUUAUCCGGAUUUAUUGGGUUUAAAGGGAGCGCAGGCUGAUUGUUAAGCGUGACGUGAAAUGUAGCCGCUCAACGGCUGAACUGCGUCGCGAACUGGCAGUCUUGAGUGAGUACGACGUCAGCGGAAUUCGUGGUGUAGCGGUGAAAUGCUUAGAUAUCACGAAGAACCCCGAUUGCGAAGGCAGCUGACGAGUCCUUUACUGACGCUAAAGCUCGAAGGUGCGGGUAUCGAACAGG